rnacentral:snRNA from 1 species
GACUUAGAAUAAUUUCCUAA